CCUACGGGAGGCAGCAGUGGGGAAUAUUGCACAAUGGGGGAAACCCUGAUGCAGCGACGCCGCGUGAGUGAAGAAGUAUUUCGGUACGUAAAGCUCUAUCAGCAGGGAAGAAAAUGACGGUACCUGACUAAGAAGCCCCGGCUAACUACGUGCCAGCAGCCGCGGUAAUACGUAGGGGGCAAGCGUUAUACGGAUUUACUGGGUGUAAAGGGAGCGUAGACGGCAGCGCAAGUCUGGAGUGAAAUCCCAUGGCUUAACCAUGGAACUGCUUUGGAAACUGUGCAGCUAGAGUGCAGGAGAGGUAAGCGGAAUUCCUAGUGUAGCGGUGAAAUGCGUAGAUAUUAGGAGGAACACCAGUGGCGAAGGCGGCUUACUGGACUGUAACUGACGUUGAGGCUCGAAAGCGUGGGGAGCAAACAGGAUUAGAUACCCGAGUAGUC
rnacentral:rRNA from 1 species